GCUAGGCAUGGUGACGUAUGCCUGUAAUCCCAGCAGCUCAGGAGGCUGAAGCAGGAUUAUCGAGAAUUCAAAGCCAGCCCCAGCAAUUUAGCGAGGCCCUAAGCAACUUAGUGAUAUCUUGUCUCUA
rnacentral:sRNA from 1 species